AUUGGGAUAUACUCAAGAUAUACGUCUCUGAAGUUUCCAUCCAAAAUAAGAUGCUUCAUAUUUGGGGCACGGACGGAUAAAACUAGUUCAUCCAUAUUUCGAAAUUUAAAUUCCUCAAGAAGAGGGCAAAUUGAAAUAAGGUUUUCAAUAAUCUCACGAGAAACUGUACAAUGAAUUAGGUUAAGGUACUUCAGACAUGGAAAACCUUGAAAUUUCAGAGGCGGCUUCACCACAAACUUGCAAAGCUUCAAUCUUGUCAGUCCUUGACAAGAAAAUAAAUGAGAAGGCGUGGGAAUGCUAUUGAUACAGAUCCAAUUACCGCCAAGAAUUAACUCUUCAAUAUCAUUCCUUGAUAUCACACGUAGCCAUUGAUCGAUAUCAGUAGACAUUCUCAAGUAUGAAGUAGUUACUUUAAACUUAUGAAUCAGGGGGUGGGGAUCCUAGAUGAAAUACAAAUGAGUUCUGAACUCAAGCUUCUCAGUGGCCCACUACUCAUCGCAACUUCCACUGCCAAGUUAUUAGUAACUUAUAAUGUUUGGAAAAGGGAUAAAUAUCAAGUAGGUCACUCGUUUCGUCCAAAUGUAUCAAUUGGGUCACUGAUUCCCAAAUUGACUCAAAUGAGACACACAUUAGAAAAAUUUGUAUCAAAAAUAUCACUCUCUAUCGUUAGUCAAAUUUUGAAAGUAUUAUAUAUCGAGUUUCGCACAUUUUUUAUGAAUGGUACUACAUCCAAAUGAAAGAUUCCGAGUUCUACUAUUUUCACUAAUAUUUUUAGAUUUUUAAAAUUUUAUCAACUAUUUAUUUUUAAUUUUUUGAUUGUUUUAUUUGAUUUAAAUAAAAAUAAAUAGGAGAUAAAUUUUUAAAAAUCUAAAAAUAUUAUCUAAAAUACUAGAACUCAGAAUCUUUCAUUUAGAUGUAAUACCAUUCAUAAAAAAUGUGCGAAACUCAAUAUAUAAUACUUUCAAAAUUUCGACUAACGAUAGAGUAAUAUUUUUGAUACAAAUUUUUCUAAUGAGUGUCUCAUUUGAGUCAUUUGGAAAUCAGUGACUCAAUUGAUACAUUUGGACGAAACAAGUGACCUACUUGAUAUUUAUCCCGUUUGGAAAAACACCACACUGGCUCCCAUUUGGUGGACAAAAUGCUAGUUCUAUAAGAAUCCCAUAUUGGUUCUUCUAUUAAUUUGAAAUCAACAAUGCUUUGUGGCAGAUACCUGAAUUUAUCCUUCCUUGAGCCCUUGCCCAUCUUUUAAUAUCCCUGCAAAAAGCAUACAAAUUUUGAGUGUAAUCGUUGCCAUAAUAAACCAAUUUUCGAACAAUAAUGUUGUUUAAAUUCACAUAUAGCAUCUCUGUCCAAACCAUAACUAUCUAUCUUCAAGACACUGUUUCAAAAAAAAAUGAAAGAGACAAAAUGUCAAACACUUGAAACGCAAUAUAAAGCUUCCGCUCAAGCAUAUAAGUUGUAUUUUAUUUUCGAAGAAGUGGUCACUAACUACUGAACAAACAAUAUAAGUUACCCAAUUAAUGGGAGAAAAACUUAAGGACAUACCAGAUACUACUAAUGCUAUAAAAAUCUCUUUCUCCAAGUACGCCAAGCCAGAGAGAUGGAGAGGAAUAGAUACGGAAGAUUUGAAAAAAACUUGUCAAGCAACAAGGAAUUUCCAGGAUAUUCUGAUCAUGUAGAACAUUGUUUCAGUCGUUUCAAGUUGCGAAUAUCAAACUUUUGUACUCCGUAAAAGAUUUCUUUUAAUUUGUAAUUUUACUCAAAGAUGAACUAUGAAAAAAAGCAGAAUCAUAAGAAAACCAAAUUACCAAAUUGCUAUUUAUUGAAAAGAGUAUAUUGCACUUUGUAAUCCCACACUUUGACUCAUUGACAAAUCAGACCUCACACUUUGAAACGUGUUACUUUGUAACUCUAAGUUUCAUUUAGCUUUCGGUUUGUAACCAUGGCUCACACCUCCGUUAAAAACAACCGUUAACAUUAACUGUUUGAAAUGUGACAAUGUAUAUAUUAGUCUCUAAUAGAUACUUUACCCCCAUGACACCUCAAAAUUUGUGUAUUAUAUUUUAAAAUUAUUUCCGAACACACACAACGAUGUAAAAAGAUUUGAAAUAAUUUUAAAAAUAUGUAUUUAGAUUUAGAAUCUGAAUUUUUUUUACAUAAACGAUGUAACUUUUUUUAAAAUUUUAAAAUAAAUACAUAUUUAAAAAAUUAUUUUAAAAUUUUUUUACAUCGUUGUGUGUGUUCAGAAAUAAUUUCAAAAUAUAAUACAUAAACUUUUAGGGGUCACACGAGUUAAAGUGGUAGAAAGUAAUAUACAUACUGCCAACUCUCAAACAGUUAAAGUUAAUGGCCGUUUUUAACGGAUGUGUGAGCCAGGGUUACAAAUCGAAAACUAAAUGAAACUUAGAGUUACAAAAUAUCACGUUUCAAAAUGUGGGAUCUGAUUUGCUAAUGAGCCAAAGUCUGGGGUUCCAAAAUGCAAUAUACUCAUCCGAAAACUGUUUCGAAAUUUUCACGCUCAUAAUAACGGGAUCAUGAUAUUCCUAUCAACUAUCUAAUUAUAAUUAGCCAUCCGUCUGUCAAAUUGUUUGGAAACAAAUUUGAAAACAAAAUUUGGAUAGUACGCACCAAGAUAUAUAAUGAUGGACAUGAAAAUGUGUACAUAAAAACAGCAAAUGUUUAAAAAGAAUUGAUAAUUUCAUUAAACCCAAACAAAAUUAUAUGACUGGUAAUCAGAAUUCAGUUGGAAAAAUGCUAAAAACUGGCUCCUAGUUAUUAUCUCGAAUGGGUGAAACAUAUAUUAUAAGCUUAACCCAAACAUGCAAAUUCUCUGCUUUAUGCAAAAAACACAAAAUAUAAGAAUAAAAAAUAAAAUAACUCCCUUGUUUGUACAAAAGGAGUAAAAUAGCAGGUAAUAUAGUUAUACAUCCACAAGAACUGAAAGUCUUCUGAAAUCCAUAAUUUGCAAAAGAAAGGAAAUGCUGCGAUAAGAUGACUAGUGAAACAAAGACAUGGAUAAAGAUGACUAGUCAAACAAAUGCAGUUGGAUAUUGGCAGAAGCUUGUUGAAGACGCGACAAUUCAGCAUCUGAUAUAUCAUCAAAAGAUUCAAGUUUGAUGCACAUCUUCUCAAGCACUGGGGAUCGUCCAAGCACAAAUAUGAGGAAUGCUAUGUCGAUUCUGCUGCACGAGUAAUCCAUAUUUACUAUUUUGAGGUGCUUGAAGGUGAAAUCAGUAGGAAAUUCUCUCUCCCAAAAAUCCAUACCAGCAGCAUUCUGAUGAUUAAGACAUUUAAAGUCUCCAGCCUAUUGUGAUCAAAAGGGAUAAUAGAUAUUAAACACGAGCCCAAGCAUAUAAUAUUGAACAGGCAAAUGUAAGCACCAAUUAACAGCACAUGUGACUUACUAGUAUAUGAAGUUCUUGCAGAUUAGGAGACUGCAAAAGCAACUGACGAACAUACGAGACUUGCUUCAUCUCUUCAAAAUUUAUUUCCCCAAGCGAAAUAACCUUUAGACAGUUAUGUGUUACUGGAACUCUCACAGGCACACUAUCUUCCCAUUGCUGAGCAAAAGGUACAAUAGUCAGAGUGAGGGUACAAAAAGAGCAAAAAAUUUAUCAAUAUUAAGGUUAGAGAUUAUAAAAAUUGAUAACACCUUUUCCCUCUAUAUUGAAUUUACAAAAAUAAUUGGAAAUACUUUUAGCAGUUUACCAGUGAAGUGAAGUCUAAUAUUAAAUGAACCAGAGACGGAGUAUGCUCAAGAUAUAUGUAUUUAAAUAUCCCUCUCACAGUAAGAUGCUUCAGAUUUGGGGAGCAGACGGUCAAAGCUAGAUUGUCUCCAUUACUAAAUUUAAACUUCUCAAGCAGAGGGCAACCUGUUAUAAGGUUUUCAAUAACCUCAAUAGUAACCUCGCCGCCAAAAAGGUUUAGGUACUUCAAACAGGGAAAUCCUUGAAAUCCCAAAGGAGGCUCCACUUUAAACCGAUAAAGCUUCAAUCUGGUCAGUUUUUGACAAGAAAAUAUACAAGAAGGUGUGCGGAAAUUCCAAAAGUUUCUGGACUGAGAAUUCCAAUAGUUUCUGGACUGCCACACCUCAAGAAGCAACUCCUUUAUAUCUUUCCUUGAUAGGAAAAGUAGCCAUGUAUCCAUCUCAGUAGAACUUAUGGAGUAUAAAGUAGAUAUUUUGAACUUAUGAAUUGGGCCGUCAUGAAGUAAAAAAUAUCGCACGAUAAAUCUUAAAAUUUUAUUCUUAGAAACAUUUCUGUAGCCAGAAAAACCCAUAUAUUCUUCGUCAAGUACGAGCUGUGUCAUGGUAGCCCACUGAUACCUCCACUUUUUAGACAAGAUGCUGGUUCUAACGGCAUCUCUUCUUGGGACUUUUGCUAGGAUGGUUUCAAUAAUGCUUUGAGGCAGAUGACUGAUAUAAUCUUUCCUUGAGAAUUCACCCAUUUAAUAUCCCUGGAAAACCCUGGAAAUUAUAAUUCUAAUCAUUCCCAAAUUAAAUCAAUAUAAAAAACUAUGCAGUAUGUUUGUAUUACUACAACACCUUAAGGCCAUGUUUGUUUGAAGGGAUUAUAAUGCCCAGACAACAACAUUAUUUUCUCUAAAUUUAGAGGAUUAUUAUCCCAUGUGAUUUCAUUGUAAUCACCUUUUUUUGAUUCAUUUCUAUGGAUUAUUAUAUCUUCUCUCACAAUGUAUUAGAAUUCCUUAAGAAUGCUCAGUUGAGACAAAUAUCCUUACUAAUUCUUUUACGUUUGUCAUGCCAAUUAAUCUAACCAGAUGAAGGAAAAACUUUAUGCCAAAUAAAUCAAAUCCUGAAACACAUUAAGUGAAUAAAUCGAUCGGGCUGGCCAUACAGUGAUUUCAAUUUAAGUAUUCCCAAUUCGAUAGAUGAAAAAAAUCUUCAAUUUGUAAAGAAUAGCCUGUAAUCAAAAACCAAUGAAAACCAAAGCAAAUGUACCUAUGAGAAGAGGGUCCGGGAAGGAUAAGAUGUACGCAGCCUUACUUCAAUUUGUAAAGAAUAGCCUGUAAUCAAAAACCAAUGAAAACCAAAGCAAAUGUACCUAUGAGAAGAGGGUCUGGGAAGGAUAAGAUGUACGCAGCCUUACCUCUAAUUCCAGAAGCAGAGGCCAUUUCCGUAAUCCUAUACUUGUUAGUUCUACUUCUAUCCUAUUAUCGUGGAAGAAUCUAAUGAUAAGAUUGAUAGACUUACAGAUUGGUUGAAAUAUCACUUACAGUUUGAUAAGUUAUUUUUAAGUAAUGCAAAAUGGUUGCUGAACAUCAUGUCCGCCUUUCAAUUAGGCAUCUGCCGUCAAUAAUUAUUCAACUCGACUAUAAACUAAGGACUACAGCAUAAAAAAAGGGAUAAAUUCUCUAAUAUGGGAAUAAACUAUAGGGAUAAAUUCUCUAAUAUGUGAAUAAACUAUGUACAUUGUACACGCACAGACCUUAAUUUGAAAUUGGGGAAAUGAUAAAAAUGAUAAAUUAACUAGGUUGGUCAUUUGAUGGGUCGGGUAUUAAUGUAUGCUGAACGAUUAAUUUCUAAAAGAUUUACAAAAGUGUAAUAUGAUGCAGUAUAUUAACGGAGUUGAUUAAACUAUAUCAAAGGCGGACAUGGGAUUUAGCUACCAAAUUUGCGACGGGGAAAUAAAAACCAAAAUGCUCAGGAGAGUUUUUCCGAACACCGUUGUGCAUUUUAACAAAAAGAGAACACGAAGUUAUGACUUCUGAAACAGUUGACAAGCAACAGCCACGCGAGCAAAUCAUUGUGUAUCCACCACAAGUCUACCAAACGAAGCAAUUACCUAUUAAAGCAAAAGAGAAGUAAAAGAGUAUACCAGAGACUGAAGGUAGUAAUCUUCGUAUGCGGUGCAAUAAUCUGAGAAACAGGAAAAGAAGGGAGGGGGCGGCCGCCAUCCGAAUGGGAGAGGAUGAUAUGUUUUUGUAUAUAUAGGGCCCAUCAGCAAUAGAAACCAACUACAAUCAUUGGAUCAGAAAGAAUAAAAGGCUCUGAUCAGCCCACUAGAUAAAAAACAGGGGAAUGGAAAAAGGAAAAAAGAAAGAAAAGAAAAUGGCAUUAAGCAAUAACUUCAUUUCAAAUAUAAACACAUUUCAAAUACAAACCACAACUACGCCUCUGCAGACAACAACUUCAUUCACCUAUAAAUCAUUAUUAUUCUCUUCAACCAAUAAGGACUCUCCGGUUCCACCCCAAUACCACAUUAUUUUAACUUAAUCUUCUUGCCAACUCAAUCUAGACCUUUCUCUCUCUUCUGCCAAAUCCGGUGACCAAUUUGUAAUUCUUGUCACUGCUGCAAUAUAUGUCUGGCCCAUCAGCAAUUGAAAUAUAUUGCAAUAAUUGGAACAAAAGAAACCCAAGGUUCGGUAGCCAACUUGAAAUUUUAAAAAAAAAACAGUGGAUUUAAGAAAAGUGAUGAUGAAGAUUUUCUUGCCACUUUUAAAACUUUAAACAGAAAAGAAAGGCAGCAAUUCAAGUUGAAGAAGGUGAGAGCCGCAGGGAGCUUGUGGAACUUAGCAAUUGCCACUCGGUUUUCAAAGGUGGUUCAGACUCCAAUUGAUAGGGAUAGUUGAGCAUAGAGAAAAACAAUAAGUUGUUUCAGACCAGGUGUUUAAUGAAGUGCUUCACUAAAGACAAUCAUUUCUUCUAUUUUUACAAAAUGGAAGCUUGUGCAAUCAGAAUAUCAGAUUACUCAAAUAUCAACAUAUACGGUAUGCUACCCUAUGAUCCGGUGCAUAUUUAUACAUUAUAGAGUAGGUUGGACCUGAGCAUAAUAUAGAAAGGGACAAAAUAAAAGUUGUAGUAUAUAUAUUGGCUUAUACUCGAAUAAAAAUUAUAAAUUCGUCACAGUUGUGCAUCAUUGAUAAUCCAAAAAAUUCACUGGACUAUAUGGAUCAGUAAGUAGUGUUAAGACUAGUGUUUUGUAGUACUAUAACUGUCUGCAAGUGGUGAUUUGUACCACUCUAAUGGACUAGUGUUUUGUAGUACUGCAAGUCUGUAACUGUCUGCAAGUGGUUAUUUGUGACUAGUUUCCCUUUUUCAAGAUAACAUCGUUGUAAUGGAGCACCACGCUAUAUGUCGGCUAACAGUCUACCAAAACAACACAAGUCAGAAAUCAAACAAAAAGAGAGAGAUUAAGGAAAUACCAGCUAAGAACAAAGGGGGAAGGACAUGCAUAAGAUGCGUAGCCAGAGUAUGUUGUCAAUUUGUCGAGAAGCUCUUCGAAAACCACUUUGUUAAUCAUAUUCUUUUGUCCACUGUAAGCAGGUGCAACACACAUGGCCUCAAGCAACGGAGAAUGUCCAAGCACAAAUAUGAGAAAUUCUAUGACCUUUUCCGUAAACACGACCGCCAUGUUACUACUUUAAGGUACUUGAAUGUGAAACCAGUAGUCAGUAGGGCAUUUUAACAACUUUGAGGACAUGUAGCCAGGUGUUUUAAGUGUGUUCAUUCGAGUCCAAACCAAUAAAAAUGCAGAAUAGUUGCAUGUUAAUUGUAUAGUGGAACGAUAACAAAUUUUCUGAAGUGACAAUUUAUAGAACAGUUGGUGGGCAAAAACAUACCUAUACUAAUUGUGAUAUGUAGAACAGUUGGUAGGCAACAGUGAUUGAGCCGGAGAUUUGAGCGAAUUUUGUCAGAAUCGCCAAAAUUAUUCUGAAAAUUUGGUUCAAAAGAAAGUAUUGCAAGUCCUGCUCGACGAUUUCUAACAUUUUCUGAAACUCUGCAAAAUCCUCGUGCACAUUCAAGAAAAUCAAGAAGAUUUCUUAGAACUCAAUUUCAUAAACCCUCGUGUACACCCAUUUUUUUUUUAUCCAAACAAAGUUUUGGAAUUUUUUUAUAAACUCAUUUUUAGGAAAAAAAGACAUUUUCACGAAAUAUAUUUUUCAUAAAUUUUUUGAGAUUUUUCCAAUAAAAGAGUAAUUUCAAAAAACAUUUUCCUUGAAAUUAUUUUUACUCCCUACAUUCUACAUUCUCCUCUUUGUUUAUAUGGCUAGAAAUAUAAACAAAGCCACAUUCUUGUUUAUAAAUGUUCUUAGUAAAUAAUUCGGUCUACUUGGUUCAAACUAAAUAUUUUUUCUAGAAAACAAUUGAGACUUUAUCUAUUUUAACGGAAAAAACUGAACCAAUUGAACAGAAAACAACUGAGAUGGUUUCUAUUUUAACGGAAAAAACUGAACCAGCUGAACUGUAAAAUAGAAUCAAACUAAAAUAUAAGCAGUUUCAUUUGGUUUCUGCGUUUUGCACAACUCUACCUGUCUGAAAAGGUUUACAUAAGGACCUGAUAUAAAUACAUCCUGAAUCCUGGUAAAUAUCUUACUGAAGCCACAAUUCGCAGAAGUUUAGCGUUCAAGCUUAAAAAUUUCUUCAACAAUUAGAUCUAAGAACCAAAAAAUAAAGUAGCCAAGGAAAAAAGUAAGAAAAGAAAGGCAUAGUUACAGAAAUCACUUCACUAGGGGUCCAAGAAUUUAAUUUCAACAUUUGGAAAAGCUUUUCCAAGACUCAGCACUUUAUUCACCAUACUCAUUCGUCCGCGACAACUAUCAGGAGGUGAAACAUUCAUCAUCUGAAGCACUGGAGAACGUCCAAGCACAAAUUUGAGGAAUUCUAUUUCAUGUUCUCUAGACACUUCCGUCAUUUUUACUACUUUAAGGUGCUUAAAUGUGAAAUCAGAAGGGCAUUGUUUCUCCCAAAAAUCUAAGCCAGCAGCUUUACGAUGAACAUUUUUGCUGGCCUCCUGUGUGAUCAGAAGCGAUAAAAAAAUAACUAAAGACUGAUAAAAGAAUUAUAUAAGCACAAAAAACAACAGGGCAUGUGACUUACUGAGAUUUGAAGUUCUUCUAUAUUAGGGGACUUCAAAAUCAAGUUAAGAGCAUAUAAAACUGCAUUCAUGUCUUCAAAAUUUAUUCCUCCAAGUUCGAUAAACUUCACAGAGUCAUACGUAAGUGGAACUUUUACAAGGAUACCAUCUUCCCAAGUCUGAGCAACAGGAUCAGCCGAAAGAGGGUGAGUGUGCAUCAUUUGUUAAGUGUUAACUUAAAGAGAAGUUUACAGACAGUUUAACACCAUUUCAUCAUCUAUCAAGUAUUAAUAAAGCUGAAAAGAACUACCUUGAAGAAGAUUAUGCUUAGAGAAACCAGAAGUGGGAUAUACUCAAGAUAUACGUCUCUGAAGUUUCCAUCCACAAUAAGAUGCUUCAUAUUUGGGGCACGGACGGAUAAAACUAGUUCAUCCAUAUUUUGAAAUUUAAAUUCCUCAAGAAGAGGGCAACCUGAAAUAAGGUUUUCAAUAACCUCACGAGAAACUGUACAAUGAAUUAGGUUAAGGUACUUCAGACAUGGAAAACCUUGAAAUUUCAGAGGCGGCUUCACCACAAACUUGCAAAGCUUCAAUCUUGUCAGUCCUUGACAAGAAAAUAAAUGAGAAGGCGUGGGGAUGCUAUUGAUACAGAUCCAAUUACCGCCAAGACUUAACUCUUCAAUAUCUUUCCUUGAUAUCGCACGUAGCCAUUGAUCGAUAUCAGUAAACAUUCUCAAUUUUGAAGUUGUUACUUUAAACUUAUGAAUAGGGCCAUCAUGAAGUAAAAGAAAUUGUGUGACAAAGUUUGCAAGUCUUAUCUCUGCAGCUUUUUGAUCAUCUAGAGAACCAUCUGGUAUUUCGUCAAAUACGAGUAGAGUCAUGGCUGUCCAUUGAUACCUCCACUUGGGAGACAAGAUGCUGGUUUUUACAGCAUCCCUUAUUGGGAUCUUUGUUAGGAUUUUUUCGAUGAUGUUUUGAGGCAGAUCACUGAUAUUGUUAUCCUUCCUUAAGCACUUCCCCAUCUUAUAAAACCCCUAGGAAAGCAUACAAAUCAUUACUUAAAUCAUUCCAGUUGAAUGUUACCUACAUUACCAUUGAUUCAAAGAAAAAAAAUGGUCAAACACAACACAAACAUAAAAGAUAGUGAUGAAUCAAAAGUCUAUACUUUAGUCCAGCAAAACAAAACAGACAUGUGUCCAGUUAAACUAAAAAGAGAGAUGGUUAAGGAAAUACUAACCAGACAGCAGAGGUAACUAAAAGAAACUUAGGAACAUGACGUCAUACCCUGGUGGGAGAGACUUGUCUUCAAUCGUCCCAGAUUCUUGAUUUGAUCCGGAGACUCACGAGAACAGAUACUAGUAAUUUGCAAGACCGCCUACUUAUUUAGAAGAAAAAAAAACUUCGUAAUUGAUGCGAGACAAUCUAUCUAGAUACAUACAUGGGAUAAAAAGAAAACUUCUUGCUCAUCCAAAAAGUUUGCAAGGGCGUUUUGCUUGCUGGUGUAAUUAGGUUGUGCGCUUCGCUUAUGGUGCAAUGGUGCAUAUAUACAAGACCAAUCUGUCAUAUUUUCAAUCUAACUUUGUUUAUAAUAAGUAAAAAUUUAGAUUUAAAUUUUAUUUGAAAUUCAUAACAUUCAAAUAUCAAUAUAAAACUCAUAAUUUGAAAUGAUACCUCAAAUUAUUAUAUCAUUUGAAAUCCAGAAUUUAAAAUAUAUAAUAUAUUUUCAUUUGAAAUUCAGAACAUUUAAAUACUAAUAUAAAUAUCAGAAUUUGAAAUGGCAUCUCAAAUCAUGUCUUUUGAAAUCUAAAAUUUAAAAUAAAAUUCAUGUUUAUAUACCAUAUCUCAUAUUAUUUAAAUUAUUAAUUUUUGAAUAUAAGGAUUUUCUAGUGUAAACAACUUAUCUUUAGUUAAGAGACGAAUUUUAAUUAACUUUUAUCUUAUUAAUAAUAAUGAACCUGUAUGUACAAAAUUUUCAUCAAUCAAAAUGUUUUAAAUAACUAAAAAGUUGAACACACACAAGAAUGAUCUCAGAUACAACUUCAUAAAUAUGUUACUUUUAACUAAAAAAACAUAUAUAAAUAAUUAAUAUAAAUUAUUUUUUAGAUUCAUUUGUUUUCAGUUAUAUAUUUAAUUAAUUAAAAUAUUAAAACUAAUUUUUGUUGAGCUAAUAAGAAUAUAAUAAUUCGAUAUAUGUUCGUCCAUUGCAAUCUCGUACUAUAUUUUGAUCAAAAAUUUAAAAUUUGCAAUACACGUCAUCAAUCUCAAAACGAACUUUUAAUUGAAAAUUAAAAAACGAAAUACGCAUAAAAAAUCCCAAGACAUGAACUUUUGAUGUCCAAGAAAGGAGGUGAGCAUAAAAACAUGGUGUAUCAAAUUAAGAUCAGAGUCAUGCUAAAAUACCACUUGUGAACAAGCGCCUGGAAAAGCCAAGCUGAUUCUUCUGGCUUCAAGGCUUCAACAAUUAAGAUGAGACAACUGACAAACACAUUUUAAAAACUAAUCACAGGUUACCCAAAGACAACAAGACAUAGAGAUAUGCAUAUACGAAUAUGCAGCACUUCACCAGGGAUCCAAAAAAUUUAUUUCAACACUGGGAGAAACUCGUCCAACACGCAGCACCUCAUUCACCAUAUUCAUCUGUCCAUCUUUAUAAUACAUAGACGGAGGUGAAACACUCACAACCUCAAGAACCGGAGAACGUUCGAGCACAAAUUUGAGAAACUCUAUGUUAUGUUUGUUCAUCACGUUCGACAUUUUCAUAACUUUAAGGUGCUUGAAUGUGAAGUCAGAAGGGCAACAUUUCUCCCAAAAAUCCAAGCCAGCAGCUUUAUAAUGACCACAACUGAGAUCCUCCUAGGUGAUCAGAAGGGAGACAAGAUAAAUAAAGCUAAGAAACAAUAGCAAAGACCGAGCAAAAAAUGAUGAUCAGAUAGAUAGUCACACAAAAUAGCAGGACAUAUGACUUACUGAGACUCGAAGUUCCUGAAGAUUAGGGGAGUGCAAAAGUAAGUGAAGAACAUACAACACUGCGUUCAUCUCUUCAAAAUUAAUGCCUUCAAGUUCAAUGAUCUUUAUAGAAUCGUAAGUAACUGGAACUUUCACAAGGAGAUUAUCUUUCCAAACCUGAGCACAGGACAGCAGAAAGAGAGUAAGUGUACAAAAAGAGUGCAUCAUCUAAAUACCCAGAGUAAAGAUUAGAGAAGAUAAAAACAACACCACCUUUUCAAAGAUUAUGCAUAAAUAAACCAGAACUGGAGUAUGCUCAAGAUAUAAGUCUCUCAAGUAUCCAGCGGCAAACAGAUGCUUCAGAUUUGGGGCACGGACUGUCAAAGCUAGUUUGUCCGCAGUUAUCAAUUUAAACUUCUCAAGAAGAGGGCAACUUGAAAGAAGGUUUUCAAUAAACUCAAGAGCAGCUGUGCAAUGUACCAGGUUAAGGUACUUUAAACAAGGAAAGCCUUGAAAUUUUAAAGGAGGCUUCACCACAAACUUGCAAAGCUUCAAUCUUGUCAGUCCUUGACAAGAAAAUAAAUGAGAAGGCGUUGGGAUGCUAUUGAUACAGUUCCAAUUUUCGCCAAGAAUUAACUCUUCUAUAUCUUUCCUUGAUAUGACACGUAGCCAUUGAUCGAUAUCAGUAGACAUUCUCAAGUAUGAAGUAGUUACUUUAAACUUAUGAAAAGGGCCAUC
rnacentral:lncRNA from 1 species